AGGCAGCAGUGAGGAAUAUUGGUCAAUGGGCGAGAGCCUGAACCAGCCAAGUCGCGUGAGGGAAGACGGUCGUAUGGAUUGUAAACCUCUUUUGCCGGGGAGCAAAGAGCGGCACGUGUGCCGCGCCGAGAGUACCCGGAGAAAAAGCAUCGGCUAACUCCGUGCC
rnacentral:rRNA from 1 species